UACGAAGGGGGCUAGCGUUGUUCGGAAUUACUGGGCGUAAAGCGUUUGUAGGCGGUUAUUUAAGCCAGUGGUGAAAUCCUGGGGCUCAACCUCAGAAUUGCCAUUGGUACUGGAUAGCUAGAGAAUGUUAGAGGAAAGUGGAAUUCCUAGUGUAGGAGUGAAAUCCGUAGAGAUUAGGAGGAAUAUCGAUGGCGAAGGCAGCUUUCUGGGACAUUUCUGACGCUGAGAAACGAAAGCGUGGGUAGCAAACAGG
rnacentral:rRNA from 1 species